rnacentral:rRNA from 1 species
AGUGAACGCUGGCGGCAGGCCUAACACAUGCAAGUCGAACGGCAGCGCAGCAGUAGCAAUACUGUGGGCGGCGAGUGGCGGACGGGUGAGUAACGCGUGGGAACAUACCUUUUGGGUUCGGAACAACACAGGGAAACUUGUGCUAAUACCGGAUAAGCCCUUACGGGGAAAGAUUUAUCGCCGAAAGAUUGGCCCGCGUCUGAUUAGCUAGUUGGUGAGGUAACGGCUCACCAAGGCGACGAUCAGUAGCUGGUCUGAGAGGAUGAUCAGCCACAUUGGGACUGAGACACGGCCCAAACUCCUACGGGUGGCAG